GUAAUAUAGUUUAGUUAGAAUUUUUGUUUUUGAUAUGAAAGGGUUUAUUACAUAU
rnacentral:tRNA from 1 species